rnacentral:rRNA from 1 species
UGGCGGAGUGGUUUGUCUGGUUAAUUCCGUUAACCAACGAGACCUUAUCCUGCUAAACAGUUACACGUAACUUCGGUUACGUGGGCAACUUCUUAGAGGGACUUUGCGUGUCUAACGCAAGGAAGUUUGAGGCAAUAACA